rnacentral:rRNA from 1 species
GACGUAGGGUGCAAGCGUUGUUCGGAUUGACUGGGCGUAAAGGGCGUGUAGGCGGUUGGUCAAGUCUGGUGUGAAAGCCCGGGGCUCAGCUCCGGAAGUGCAUCGGAAACUAGCCGACUGGAGCGCGAUAGAGGAGGGUGGAAUUCCUGGUGUAGCGGUGAAAUGCGCAGAUAUCAGGAAGAACACCAAUGGCGAAGGCAGCUCUCUGGGACGGUACUGACGCUGAGACGCGAAAGCGUGGGGAGCGAACAGG